rnacentral:rRNA from 1 species
CAUCCGGUUGAUCCUGCCGGAGCGCGACGCUCGCCCCAAGGACACAAGCCAUGCACGCCGGCGCGGCACGGCGAAGGGGCGGACGGCUCAGUACACCGGUUGCACCCUGCGCGGCGGUCGGGGCUAGCCGGACACCGCUGGCAACCCAGCGACAAGACGAGCGCUCAAGCGCGGCCGGGGAGCCGGCGCGACGCAGCGAAUGGCCGCCUGGGCUUCCGCGGCAUCACCCCGCGGGCACGGUCGCGGCGUGCCCGGGGUCUCACGCCUGGCGGAGGAUCAGGGUUCGACUCCGGAGAGCGGGCCUGAGAGACGGCCCGCACAUCCAAGGACGGCAGCAGGCGCGGAACUUGCCCAAUGCGCGGGGCGCGAGGCAGCGACGGGGCGUGCCGGGACCCGGCGCGGGCGUGGCGUACAGCCCCACGCGUGGAGUCGAGGGAAAGGUCUGGUGCCAGCAGCCGCGGUAAUUCCAGCUCGGCAGGCGUCGCGCGGCGCUGCUGCAGUUAAAACGUCCGGCGUCGGGCCGCCCUGCCGGGAGGAAAGGGGAGCGCUCGAGGCAGGCUCGUUGGACCUACCGCCCGGGACGGCGAGGAGAGUGGGCGGGGGCAUUAGUACCGGACGGGGACGGGUGAAACAGGAUGAUCCCUCCGAGACUCCCCGCGGCGCAGGCGUCUGCCAGGGCCACCUCUGUCGAUCCAGGGCGAAGGCCGGGGGCGAGAAGGCGAUUAGACACCACCGUAUUCCCGGGCGUAAACGGUGCCGCCCCGGCGCCGGCGUCGGUCGGCGCCCCAGGGAAACCGGUCAGGCUCCGGCUCUGGGGGGAGUAUGGCCGCAAGGCUGGAACUUGAAGGCAUUGACGGAGGGGUACCACCAGAUGUGGAGUCUGCGGCUCAAUUUGACUCAACGCGAACACCUUACCAGGCCCGGACGCGCGGAGGAUCGACAGCCGGGUGCGCUUUCGUGAUCGCGCGGGCGGUGGUGCAUGGCCGUUCCCAGCCCGUGGCGCGAGCCGUCUGCUUCACUGCGACAACGAGCGAGACCCCGGCCACACCCGCGUGUGGGACCGCCGCCGGGGAGGCGGAGGAAGGCGGGGCGAUAACAGGUCUGUGAUGCCCUCAGACGCCCUGGGCCGCACGCGUACUACACUGGGCCGGGCAGCGCGCGCGCGGCCGCGAGGCCGGGCGACCCGCCAAGCCGGCCCGUGGUUGGGAUCGCGGGCUGGAACGCCCCCGUGAACCCGGAAUAUCUCGUAGGCGCGUGUCCCCAACGCGCGCCGGAUGCGUCCCUGCCCCUUGUACACACCGCCCGUCGCUCCUACCGACUGGGCGCCGCGGCGAGUCCCCGGGAGCCCCCGGUGAACGGCGACGAGCCCUGGCGCCUGGAGGAAGGAGAAGUCGUAACAAGGUAUCCGUAGGUGAACCUGCGGAUGGAUCCCUAG